GACGAACGCUGGCGGCGUGCUUAACACAUGCAAGUCGAGCGGUAAGGCCCUUUCGGGGGUACACGAGCGGCGAACGGGUGAGUAACACGUGGGUGACCUGCCCUCAGCUCUGGGAUAAGCCUGGGAAACCGGGUCUAAUACCGGAUAUGACUCCAUGACGCAUGUUGUGGGGUGGAAAGCCUUGUGCGGCUGAGGAUGGGCCCGCGGCCUAUCAGCUUGUUGGUGGGGUGANGGCCUACCAAGGCGACGACGGGUAGCCGGCCUGAGAGGGCGACCGGCCACACUGGGACUGAGACACGGCCCAGACUCCUACGGGAGGCAGCAGUGGGGAAUCUUGCGCAAUGGGCGAAAGCCUGACGCAGCAACGCCGCGUGGGGAUGAAUGCC
rnacentral:rRNA from 1 species